rnacentral:rRNA from 1 species
CACGUAGGGGGCAAGCGUUGUCCGGAUUUAUUGGGCGUAAAGAGCUCGUAGGCGGUUUGUCGCGUCUGCUGUGAAAACUCGGGGCUUAACUCCGGGCCUGCAGUGGGUACGGGCAGACUAGAGUGCGGUAGGGGAGACUGGAAUUCCUGGUGUAGCGGUGAAAUGCGCAGAUAUCAGGAGGAACACCGGUGGCGAAGGCGGGUCUCUGGGCCGUAACUGACGCUGAGGAGCGAAAGCGUGGGGAGCGAACAGG